rnacentral:rRNA from 1 species
AGUGAACGCUGGCGGUAGGCCUAACACAUGCAAGUCGAACGGCAGCACAGUAAGAGCUUGCUCUUACGGGUGGCGAGUGGCGGACGGGUGAGGAAUACAUCGGAAUCUACUUUUUCGUGGGGGAUAACGUAGGGAAACUUACGCUAAUACCGCAUACGACCUACGGGUGAAAGCAGGGGAUCUUCGGACCUUGCGCGAUUGAAUGAGCCGAUGUCGGAUUAGCUAGUUGGCGGGGUAAAGGCCCACCAAGGCGACGAUCCGUAGCUGGUCUGAGAGGAUGAUCAGCCACACUGGAACUGACGAACGGCCCAGACCCCUACGGGAGGCCGCAGUGGGGAAUAUUGGAAAAGGGGGGAAAGCCUGACCCAGCCAUACCGCGUGGGUGAAGAAGGCCUUCGGGUUGUAAAGCCCUUUUGUUGGGAAAGAAAAGCAGCAGGUUAAUACCCCGCUGUUCUGGCGGUACCCAAAGAAUAAGCACCGGCUAACUUCGU